GUGUGUGUGUGUGUGUGUGUGUGUGUGUGUGUGUGUGUGUGUGCAUAUGUGAGCAUGUGUAUAGAUGUGUGUCUGUGUGUGUGUGUGUGUGUGUGUGUGUGUGUGUGUGUGUGUGUGUGUGUGUGCGUGCAUAUGUGAGCAUGUGCGUAGGUGGGUGUCUGUGUGUGUGUGUAUUUGGGUUUGUGUGUGUGUGUGUGCGUGUGUGUGCAUAUGUGAGCAUGUGUGUAGGUGGGUGUCUGGGUGUGUGUUUGUGUGUGUGUGUGUGUGUGUGUGUGUGUGUGUGUGUGUGUGUGUGCAUGUGCGAAGGUGGGUGUCUGUGUGU
ensembl:lncRNA